rnacentral:sRNA from 1 species
UCAAUUGGUCGCAGGUUCGAAUCCUGCACGACCCACCAAUCGUUCUGGUGGAACGCGAUAGUAAAACGUGAAGGAUAACGUUGCGUCAGCAACGGCCCGUAGGGCGAGGCGAAGCCGAGUCAUCCUGCACGACCCACCG